GCACUACUGAUGAGUCCCAAUACUAGGACGAAACGGCCGUCCAGUAC
rfam:Schistosoma margrebowiei strain Zambia genome assembly, scaffold: SMRZ_scaffold0001443